AUGAACGCUGGCGGCGUGCCUAAUACAUGCAAGUCGAGCGAACGGACGAGAAGCUUGCUUCUCUGAUGUUAGCGGCGGACGGGUGAGUAACACGUGGAUAACCUACCUAUAAGACUGGGAUAACUUCGGGAAACCGGAGCUAAUACCGGAUAAUAUUUUGAACCGCAUGGUUCAAAAGUGAAAGACGGUCUUGCUGCCACUUAUAGAUGGAUCCGCGCUGCAUUAGCUAGUUGGUAAGGUAACGGCUUACCAAGGCAACGAUGCAUAGCCGACCUGAGAGGGUGAUCGGCCACACUGGAACUGAGACACGGUCCAGACUCCUACGGGAGGCAGCAGUAGGGAAUCUUCCGCAAUGGGCGAAGGCCUGACGGAGCAACGCCGCGUGAGUGAUGAAGGUCUUCGGAUCGUAAAACUCUGUUAUUAGGGAAGAACAUAUGUGUAAGUAACUGUGCACAUCUUGACGGUACCUAAUCAGAAAGCCACGGCUAACUACGUG
rnacentral:rRNA from 1 species